GCAAAUGAUGAUAAUUUGUCUUCUUGAUAGGAAGUGCCAACUGACACAUAAAUGAAGCUAAGUUACUUAACUGAAAGCA
rnacentral:snoRNA from 1 species